GGGCGAUUAACUCAGCGGUAGAGUGCAUCCUUCACACGGAUGAAGUCGCAGGUUCAAAUCCUGCAUCGCCCACCA
rnacentral:tRNA from 1 species